CCCUUAGAUGUUCUGGGCUGCACGCGCGCUACACUGAUGCGUUCAACGAGUAUCCACCUUGCGCGACAGCGCUAGGAAAUCUUGUGAAAGCGCAUCGUGCUGGGGAUAGACGAUUGUAAUUAUUCGUCUUCAACGAGGAAUUCCUAGUAAGCGCGAGUCAUCAGCUCGCGUUGAUUACGUCCCUGCCCUUUGUACACACCGCCCGUCGCUCCUACCGAUUGAGCGGUCCGGUGAGCCAUUCGGAUUGUGCCUGCCCUCGGGUGCGGCGCGAAAAGUCUUGCAAACCUUAUCGCUUAGAGGAAGGAGAAGUCGUANCA
rnacentral:rRNA from 1 species